UUCAAACUGAUGGAGUUUGUGGAGAAGGUCUUUCUUCAUUGUCAAGUGUCCCUGCUAAACAUCACAGAAGUGAUCACAGAACUCAAUCCUCAGCUACAACCAACACAUGUGAGCUCAAUUUACAGUAUCCUUAAUUCAGAAUGCUUUGAAGAAUUCAGGUAUGUGUGGUUAUAGGUUGAGAGUAUCAAAGCUGCUAAUUUGUGGACGUACAAGGUCUACUAA